rnacentral:rRNA from 1 species
GUGCUUCGAUUGUGACCCCAGGUCAGGCGGGACUACCCGCUGAGUUUAA